rnacentral:rRNA from 1 species
GAGUUUGAUUCAUGGCUCAGAAACGUACGCUGGCGGCACGCCUAACACAUGCAAGUCGAACGCAGUAGCAAUACUGAGUGGCAAACGGGUGAGUAUAAUGUGGGAAUCUGCCUUUUGGUUUGGAAUAACACGGGGAAACUUGUGCUAAUACCGAAUAAGCCUUUACGGGGAAAGUUUUAACGCCGAAAGAUGAGCCUGCACUUGAUUAGCUAGUUGGUAAGGUAAAAGCUUACCAAGGCAACGAUCAAUAGCUGUUCUUAGAGGAAGACCAGCCACAUUGGGACUGAGACACGGCCCAGACUCCUACGGGAGGCAGCAGUGGGGAAUCUUGCACAAUGGGGGAAACCCUGAUGCAGCGAUGCCGCGUGAGUGAAGAAGGCCUUUGGGUUGUAAAGCUCUUUCGUCGGGGAAGAAAAUGACUGUACCCGAAUAAGAAGGUCCGGCUAACUUCGUGCCAGCAGCCGCGGUAAUACGAAGGGACCUAGCGUAGUUCGGAAUUACUGGGCUUAAAGAGUUCGUAGGUGGUUGAAAAAGUUGGUGGUGAAAUCCCAGAGCUUAACUCUGGAACUGCCAUCAAAACUUUUCAGCUAGAGUAUGAUAGAGGAAAGCAGAAUUUCUAGUGUAGAGGUGAAAUUCGUAGAUAUUAGAAAGAAUACCAAUUGCGAAGGCAGCUUUCUGGAUCAUUACUGACACUGAGGAACGAAAGCAUGGGUAGCGAAGAGGAUUAGAUACCCUCGUAGUCCAUGCCGUAAACGAUGUGUGUUAGACGUUGGAAAUUUAUUUUCAGUGUCGCAGGGAAACCGAUAAACACACCGCCUGGGGAGUACGACCGCAAGGUUAAAACUCAAAUGAAUUGACGGGGACCCGCACAAGUAGUGGAGCAUGUGGUUUAAUUCGAAGAUACGCGCAGAACCUUACCAACACUUGACAUGUUCGUCGCGACUCUAAGAGAUUAGAGUUUUCGGUUCGGCCGGACGAAACACAGGUGCUGCAUGGCUGUCGUCAGCUCGUGUCGUGAGAUGUUGGGUUAAGUCCCGCAACGAGCGCAACCCUCACUUUUAGUUGCCAUCAUUAAGUUGGGCACUCUGAAAGAACUGCCAGUGAUAAGCUGGAGGAAGGUGGGGAUGACGUCAAGUCCUCAUGGCCCUUACGUGUUGGGCUACACACGUGCUACAAUGGCAUCUACAACAGGAAGCAAAACGGCAACGUUAAGCAAAUCCCGAAAAGAUGCCUCAGUUCGGAUUGCACUCUGCAACUCGAGUGCAUGAAGCUGGAAUUACUAGUAAUCGUGGAUCAGCGUGCCACGGUGAAUGCGUUCCCGGGUCUUGUACACACCGCCCGUCACACCAUGGGAGUUGGUUCUACCUUAAGGCAAGGUUUUAAACCCUUGACCACGGUAUAGUCAGCGACUGGGGUGAAGUCGUAACAAGGUAACCGUA